rnacentral:lncRNA from 1 species
GUGGAAACAAAACUGUACAUUUUUUUUAAAGUUUGUUGAAAAAAAUAUUGUCUUAUUCUAUAAAACAUUUCAAACCUAGUUAGGUUAUUUGUAAUCAAAAAAACAUUUGCACAGAAAGCAGCACUUAGAGCUGCCUAUUCUGUACCCUGUAGCUGGAUAGGAAAAGAACUAAAAAUGACACCCUCCAGCAUUCAAAGACAGCUGGAUUGGUAGCCCAGUAAGGGAGAGUGGUGUGGGGAGAAGGGGAACAGCAUGAGGGAAUUCUGCUAGCAGUCAGGAGUGGGAACAGAGGCAACAGGAGCAGGGGCAGAGGGAGUGCCUAUGACCAGGGCAGUGGAAAUAAACAAUUGGCUGUUAUCAUUGACUUGCACCAACUAACUGCUUGUAUUUUCUUUACCAACCUUUCCCUCUUGGGCUAUAGAAUCAAUAGAUUGUCCACUUUGUUGUGCCUUAGGCACAGAGACUGCUAGUUGGGUGGUUCUAUUAUAUAGGAUUCCCAGGCCAAGGGGGCACGGGAGCUCUCGGGUACUGGAGAGCAGAAUACUUUGUCCCUGUCCAUAUUAUAUUCAGUAAAUUCCUAUAAAGUCUGGAGGAGGGUGGGAACACAGCCCUUAGUCUGAAGAUAGUGAUUUGCCAGUCCCUAGUCUCUGUCUUUGGAGUUGAUAGAGGCAAGAGAUCUCUGGAAUCAUUUACUAAUAUUGCCUGCCUCUUACAAGUGUGAGGGAAGGAAUGAUUCUCAGGGUUUCAGCUCACAGAAAUGCAGCAAGACAUUGUUUACUGCAUCAGGAUAUGUAUAUAGGUGAAUCCUGUGGUGUGGGCUAUCAGGCCCAGGUGCUGAGAAUUGCAUCUAUUUUAUACAAUGUGGGGGGCUCUGCCCUGCUGCUGUUUUUGUUUUUGUUUUGAUAUGCAGAGAGUGAGUAGAAAGGGGUUGGGGAUAGGAGGCAGCUCAAUUAGGCUGCAGGAACUUGGGAAGACUAUGUGAAUGUGUGUAUGGGUGUGUGCAAGGAAACACCUUUUCCCAACUUGUUGAAACAGGAUUCCUUCAAGGGUGCUUCCCUUCAAGUCCCUAGAGAGGCCUCUCAUCAAGAGACUUCAUUUGGGAUCAUAUAGUUUGUAACUUUAACAGCACCCUCCCAGUUCUUGACAGAACAGCUACAGGUCGCUGGGUUCAAGAAUGUGGGCUGGAUAUAGCACUGCUCUUUCAAUAUUGAUCUUCAAUUUAAAUCAUUAUCUUGCUUAGCUAAAAGCUUACUCAGCAACAGCAUCCUACAGCACUUCCUGGUGAGAAAACCUCGGGGCUGAGUUACUAGGACAUACUUCACUUCCACUUCCUUGUCUGAGCAAUUCUCUUGUUAAAUUUGUGGUGAGAUUUGGGUCUCACCUGUCCUGAUGUCCUUUCCAUGCAGGGCUUCUCAGGGUGUGCAGACCUCAUUCUGAGUCUCUGGUUUGUUAGGACACAUCAUUCUGCUCAAGGACCUCUUUCCAAGGCUGUAGUGGAGCCUGGAAGGAGAUAAGCUUGCUUAUACUGUGUCUUUUCUAUUGCACUUGUCCCUUAUGGUGCCACAAUGGAUUUGUGUGUGGCAGUGGGUGGAAUGACUGCAUGCAUCUUUUGUAACUCACUGGUAUUAUAAAGGGAGUUUGAGAAAGCACUGUUUAUAAUGUCAGGGCAAAAAGAUAGAAACUGGAGCCCAAAGAAAUCAAUCCCCUUAGAACAAAAUUAUGUUUUAAUAGGAAACUUAAUUUCCAGAGGCAGAAGCUGUCCCUUCAGAUGUUAGUCCUCCAACAAGUAACACUUACAGUGUCUGUGACCUGGAUUCUAGGUGAUGGAGCCAUAAGAAGGGCAAAAACUUAACACUGAAGUUUGGGGCAACAGGGGUUAGAGAGUAUACUCGCUGUUGGUUUACAACACCAGAAAAGUCAAAGUCCUCUUUUUAAAAAGCUGUUUUUCUAGUUGAAUGGAGAAUGAAACUGCCACAUCCUUGUUGGGUUUGUUCAGGAGGUCUCCUGUAUCAAAGUGGAUGUCUGCAUUUUGUUUCUGUCUUGUGUUUUUAUUAUGAAAAGAAAUGUUAUUGGGGCAGGUGUGGGUUGUAGAUUAUGGUAUUAAGAGGAAUCCCUGGUUUUGUUUUCCUUAGAAGAGUUGUUUAGUGUUUUAUCAGAUGUCUGUUGUAGUUGUAGUUGGAAAAACUUGUUUAAAAAAACAAACAAACAAAUACCACAUGGAGCCUGUAAAUGUUUUUGCACAACCUGUAAAGCAUUCUUGGAAGUGGCCAGUAAAAAAAAACAAAAAACAAAAAAC